rnacentral:rRNA from 1 species
GGGCCGUUACAGGGUCUUACCAUGCAAGUCGAGCGGUAAGGCCCUUCGGGGUACACGAGCGGCGAACGGGUGAGUAACACGUGGGUGAUCUGCCCUGUACUUCGGGAUAAGCCUGGGAAACUGGGUCUAAUACCGGAUAUGACCACGAGAUGCAUGUCUUGUGGUGGAAAGAUUUAUCGGUACAGGAUGGGCCCGCGGCCUAUCAGCUUGUUGGUGGGGUAAUGGCCUACCAAGGCGACGACGGGUAGCCGGCCUGAGAGGGCGACCGGCCACACUGGGACUGAGACACGGCCCAGACUCCUACGGGAGGCAGCAGUGGGGAAUAUUGCACAAUGGGCGAAAGCCUGAUGCAGCGACGCCGCGUGAGGGAUGACGGCCUUCGGGUUGUAAACCUCUUUCGACAGGGACGAAGCGCAAGUGACGGUACCUGUAGAAGAAGCACCGGCCAACUACGUGCCAGCAGCCGCGGUAAUACGUAGGGUGCGAGCGUUGUCCGGAAUUACUGGGCGUAAAGAGCUUGUAGGCGGUUCGUCGCGUCGUUCGUGAAAACUUGGGGCUCAACCCCAAGCUUGCGGGCGAUACGGGCGGACUAGAGUACUUCAGGGGAGACUGGAAUUCCUGGUGUAGCGGUGAAAUGCGCAGAUAUCAGGAGGAACACCGGUGGCGAAGGCGGGUCUCUGGGAAGUAACUGACGCUGAGAAGCGAAAGCGUGGGUAGCGAACAGGAUUAGAUACCCUGGUAGUCCACGCCGUAAACGGUGAGGUACUACGUGUGGGUUUCCUUCCACGGGAUCCGUGCCGUAGCUAACGCAUUAAGUACCCCGCCUGGGGAGUACGGCCGCAAGGCUAAAACUCAAAGGAAUUGACGGGGGGCCCCACAAGCGG